UAUUGUGGAGAGACAUCAUCAUGUUUUAUAUGUCUGGCUAGUAUUUAAAUUUCCUUGAGGGCCUGUUUGGAAACUAGAAUUUCAUUUCAAAUAGUGUAUUUGACCCAAUUCUAGUAUUGGAUCCAUAAGAACUUGAAUACUAGAUAUUGGCCCAAAUCCAUUUAACAGUUUAAACCUAUACUAAGCCCAUAAUUCUAAAUCCCGAUUGAUAGGCUGUCAUUUGUAAUUCCUGUUUCUUCUCUCUCCAUUUCCGCUCUCACAAAUUCCCCCCGCUCUCGCGAUUCCCCCCUCGCGAUCUCUCAACCGGCGGUGGCGACGACGACGACGAGAUCUCUCCCCGCCGCCAUCUCCAACGGCGACGACCUCUCCCCCUUCAUCCGCCGUGCCUUCGCCCAGUCCAAGCCCGAGGCCCUCCUCCACAACCUCCGCCUCUUCGCCCGAUCCAAGGAGUUCAAGAUCGAGUCCGUCUGCAAAUCUCACUACCAGGACUUCAUUCAAGCCGUCGACGACCUCCACUCCCUCCUCUUCGAGACCGAAACCCUAAAAAGCUCGAUCAAGCCUUAAUUUCCCAUUGGAGAGGGGGGCGACAGCGAAGAUGGUUGAUGUUUCCUCUCGAUCAAGCCCUAAUUCCUCAUUGGAGAGGGGGGCAACGGUGAGUUUCGGUGGCGGUUAUGGUUGGUGAGGUCAGUUUUCUCUAUUUUCUCUGUUUAAUUGGUAAUGAAUUUGUUUAAAAGACUAAAAUUUUUCCAUCUUACGUAGAAUUUGGUAAUGUUAAUGUUUGUUCAAUAGUAUUUGGAGGUUCUCUGCGUGGAAUUUGCUAGUGAAAAGAGUUGGAUUCAAAGAAUUCAAGUUUAAUCAAUUAAACAAACAAUAACCACUAGCAUAACUUUCUAGUAUUACACUUAUUCUACUUGGUACAUUUAGUAGUCUCUUCAAGUCUACGACAUUCGUGAGAUGAAAGUUUCUAGAUAUGAUACAUAAAAGGGCAUUUUCUAAAUUAUGAGUCUACGAUAUUUCUUGAAUGCCAUCCUACGUUUCUGGUUUUGGCGGUGAGAUGAUAAGCAUAAUAACCAACGAGAGUUACUAAUAACUUGAAUGCAAAUCUUUUGUGUUAUCAAUUUGUUCCGCAUAGUUUGAUGGUGCACAUGUUAUUCACCAUCAUGGUUCCUCUACUUUUUCUAAUAAGGAUACCAAAUUAAAAUCCUUGCAAUUCUCAAGAUAUUAUCGUGACUUUUAGAUGUAAUUCUCUUAUCUAUAACUUCUUGAAUGUUUAUUUUGCGUUUCAAUAUUUAUCUUUUACUAUUGAGAUAAUACUUUUGGUUGAGAGCUGAUUAAUGUUCAUUUGCAUGAUGCUAACUAAGUGUAUUGCUGCGAAUGUACAUUCCAUGUAUUUAUGUUCAGGAUGCAAAUGCGUCUGCAUGUCAGUUUGCAGAAUGAUCCAACACUUGGACACUUGCUGCUUACCUUGUGUCCAUACGCCAUGGAAUACUAGUAGCUACCAUCUCCAUAUGAUAUAGAAAGUUCAAUUCAUACUCAAGAGAUACAGAACCUUCCGCAUAUAUUAAUAUGAUCAAAUAGCCGAUAUACUAUUUUUUAUCGUUUAUAUUUUACAGUUCAUAUAUUUUAAGUAUGCUUAACCCCUUAACACAUCUUGGUAUGAUGAAUGAACAAAGUCUUAUGUUUCAACUGUUCAUGUAUUUAUGACUUGGUUGUUUGAGGCUUGGAUGGGAUCAGUAGCUUAGCGCUUGCCUAGUCAGUCAAUUGAAGUCUCUCUUUGAUUCCUUUUACCAAUUCUAUCCAAAAAUUGAACCCUCUAGUUUCACAGCCUAAAUUAUGUAGAAUUCUGGCAGUUUAUAAGGCAUCAUGUUGCAUCAGAUUCUUCAUCAGUAAUUGGCUGCGUUUUUUUUUUAAUUCUAAAGAUUAGUAGAAGUUGCAUUGCUAGAAGGAACCUUGAGUUACUGGAAACAAGACAAAUUGUUUGUUUGUUAUAUUGACUUUUUUUUCUUUUUUUUGAGGAAGACUGCAUAAAAGAUUGAAAACUCAACUUAUUACAUUCAAUACUAUGCACUAUAUAUAUACAUCAUGGCUUCUCUGUUCUGUUAGAGGAUUGUUAGAAAUUACCCAUUUUCAAGCUUUAUAGUUCUUUAAACUGGGUCAUACAUAAGUUUCAGAUCUCUAUCAACCCCAGACUACUACUUUCAGUACCAUCUCAAGACAUCAAUGUAUGAAGAUAUGGAUGUUUCUGAUCUACUAGAAGGAAAAGGUGAUUCAAAAACUCACAAAGUAAGACUUUCUGAACCGAAGGGAGAAAACUACAAAAGAAAUACAAAGUGAAAGUGUAUAAGCAUUAGAAAGAAACUCUCAUUUGAAUCAGGUGUAAAAGUCUUAAAGAAACUAGUACGAGAGCAACUUAAACAUGGCACUAUGUAAUGACAAAAUAUUAACUUUUGUUGGUUUGUAUUUGUUGGAUAUUUUG